rnacentral:rRNA from 1 species
GACGAACGCUGGCGGCGUGCUUAGCACAUGCAAGUCGAACGGGAUUUAGUAAACGGAAGCCUCGGUGGAAGAUUACUAAUGAGAGUGGCGAACGGGUGAGUAACGCGUGAGCAACCUGCCUAUGACAGUGGGAUAGCCUCGGGAAACCGGGAUUAAUACCGCAUAAAAUCGUAGAAACACAUGUUUCAACGGUCAAAGAUUUAUCGGUCAUAGAUGGGCUCGCGUCUGAUUAGCUAGUUGGUGAGAUAACAGCCCACCAAGGCGACGAUCAGUAGCCGGUCUGAGAGGAUGAACGGCCACAUUGGAACUGAGACACGGUCCAAACUCCUACGGGAGGCAGCAGUGGGGAAUAUUGCACAAUGGGGGAAACCCUGAUGCAGCGACGCCGCGUGAACGAAGAAGGUAUUCGUAUCGUAAAGUUCUGUCCUAUGGGAAGAUAAUGACAGUACCAUAGAAGAAAGCUCCGGCUAAAUACGUGC